rnacentral:rRNA from 1 species
AUUGAACGCUGGCGGCAGGCCUAACACAUGCAAGUCGAACGAGUGGCGGACGGGUGAGUAAUGUCUGUGAAACUGCCUGCUGGAGGGGGAUAACUACUGGAAACGGUAGCUAAUACCGCAUACCAUCGGAUGUGCGCAUCUGGGCUUAGCUAGUAGGUGGGGUAGUGGCGCACCUAGGCGACGAUCCCUAGCUGGUCGGCGAGGAUGACAAGGCACACUGGAACUGAGACACGGUCCAGACGCCUACGGGAGGAAGCAGUGGGGAAUAGUGCACAAUGGGCGAAAGCCUGAUGCAGCCAUGCCGCGUGUAUGAAGAAGGCCUUAGGGUUGUAAAGUACUUUCAGCGAGGAGGCGGUACUCGCAGAAGAAGCACCGGCUAACUCCGUGCCAGCAGCCGCGGUAAUAC